GGUUUCAUAGCUCCGCUGGUUAGAGCGUUGCACCGGUAGCGCGAGGUCACGGGUUCAAUCCCCGUUGAAGUCA
rnacentral:tRNA from 1 species